CUUCCUGUUAUUUAUAAUCUCUGAAAGCAAAAGAAAAAUAUCAGUCUGCUUACUCAGUGGAGCAACAAACAAUGGAUCCCAAAGGCCAGCGAGUGAAGCUUAAUGAUGGCCACUUCAUUCCCGUCCUGGGAUUUGGAACCUUUGCACCUCCAGAGGUUCCUAAGAGUGAAGCUCUGGAAGUCACCAAAUUUGCUAUAGAGGUUGGGUUCCGCCAUAUUGACAGUGCUCAUUUGUACCAAAAUGAAGAGCAGGUUGGCCAGGCCAUUCGAAGCAAGAUUGCCGAUGGCACUGUGAAGAGAGAAGAUGUAUUCUACACUUCAAAGCUUUGGUCCACUUCUCUUCGUCCAGAAUUGGUCAGACCAGCCUUGGAAAAGUCACUGAAUAAUCUUCAACUGGACUAUGUCGAUCUCUAUAUUAUUCAUUUUCCAGUGGCUCUGAAGCCAGGAGAGGCACUUUUCCCAAAAGAUGAAAAUGGAAAACCAAUAUUUGACUCAGUGGAUCUCUGUCGCACGUGGGAGGCCCUGGAGAAGUGUAAGGAUGCGGGGCUGACCAAGUCCAUCGGAGUGUCCAACUUCAACCACAAGCAGCUGGAGAAGAUCCUGAACAAGCCAGGGCUCAAGUAUAAGCCCGUCUGCAACCAGGGUAAACCCAAACCUCCCCUUUCUCUUGGAGGACCCAGUUCUCUCUGCCAUCGCCAAAAAGCACAAGCAAACCCCAGCUGUGGUUGCCCUUCGCUACCAGAUACAACGUGGGGUUGUGGUUCUGGCCAAGAGUUACAACAAGAAGCGGAUCAAAGAGAACAUACAGGUGAUGAGUGGGGCUGUGGGCAGAGGGCUCCUAAGGAAUAUCCUUCACAAGGGUCAUUCUUUGUCCAACUGAGGACAGAUACGGCUUCCCUGUCCCCUCUUCUUGUCCCCAUCCAGUUGGAGAGUCCUCCAGUCCCCAGGGGAAGGCUGGCUCCUUGGGGUGGGGGGCGGGGAGGUAAUGCGAUUGUUCCUUCCUCCCAGGUGUUUGACUUUGAACUGACUCCAGAAGACAUGAAAGCAAUCGAUGGCCUCAACAGGAGCAUAAGAUAUAAUGAGCUACUACUGUAA
rnacentral:lncRNA from 1 species